rnacentral:rRNA from 1 species
AGAGUUGAUCCUGGCUUAGGACGAACGCUGGCGGCGUGCCUAACACAUGCAAGUCGAGCGAGGAGAUCCUCGGGAUGAUCCUAGCGGCGGACGGGUGAGUAACACGUGGGCAACCUGCCUCAUAGAGAGGAAUAGCCUUCCGAAAGGGAGAUUAAUACCUCAUAACAUUGCAGUUUCGCAUGGAACAGCAAUUAAAGGAGCAAUCCACUAUGAGAUGGGGCCCGCGGCGCAUUAGCUAGUUGGUGAGGUAACGGCUCACCAAGGCGACGAUGCGUAGCCGACCUGAGAGGGUGAUCGGCCACAUUGGGACUGAGACACGGCCCAGACUCCUACGGGAGGCAGCAGUGGGGAAUAUUGCACAAUGGGGGAAACCCUGAUGCAAGCAACGCCGCGUGAGUGAUGACGGCCUUCGGGUUGUAAAGCUCUGUCUUCAGGGACGAUAAUGACGGUACCUGAGGAGGAAGCCACGGCUAACUACGUGCCAGCCGCAGC